UACAGAGGUCCCAAGCGUUGUUCGGAUUCACUGGGCGUAAAGGGUGCGUAGGUGGUGAGGUAAGUCGGAUGUGAAAUCUCCGAGCUCAACUCGGAAACUGCAUUGGAAACUACCUUGCUCGAGGGUUGGAGGGGGACUGGAAUGCUUGGUGUAGCAGUGAAAUGCGUAGAUAUCAGGAGGAACACCGGUGGCGAAGGCGGGUCUCUGGGCCGAUACUGACGCUGAGGAGCGAAAGCGUGGGGAGCGAACAGG
rnacentral:rRNA from 1 species